rnacentral:misc_RNA from 1 species
AUGGGGAAUGUGGUCAAGGAUGUUGAGGCUAAAGGAUUCAACCCAGGAUUGAUAGUGCUGCUGGUUGUUGGCGGGCUAGUUCUGGCAUUCCUAAUUGGAAAUUAUGCUCUCUACAUGUAUGCGCAGAAGACACUUCCUCCCAAAAAGAAGAAGCCAAUCUCAAAGAAGAAGAUGAAGAGGGAAAGACUGAAGCAAGGUGUCUCUGCGCCUGGAGAGUGAAAUUUGAGAUGUGUUUCCUAUUCAUUACCAGUGUGUUGAACUCUCGUGUUCGAAAUUUUCCCAUCUUUCGUGUCAAGAGAGCUAUGUUAUUUCACUUUUUAGUUUUCAUACUUGUUAGAAAUUUUAACUUCAAAGUUCAGAAUCUGACUUAUAUUUUGGGUAGAAUAUUUGUCUUCGAUGUAGCUUGUCUUCCGAUUGAAAAGUUACAGGACAUCAUCUCUAGAAUUAGGUAUCAGACCUUACAAGUAGUGCACAGAAUAAGAAUAUGUGCCUAGCUGGUGCCACACUUUUGUUCCAAAUUUUAGAUAAAUAAAAUAUUUAAAAAAAAAAUAAGAAAGAAAAAGAGAACAACAUAUCCACGUAAAUUGCAUCAAAUAUCACAGUUUACAUAUUCUUCAUUCUUUUAGUCAAACAACAUAACAGGGUAAAAGAAACAAACUUCAACAAAAAUCUAUAACAUGCAAAGGCAGGUCCCUUCAAGCCUCACGGGCCAUGGCCUGCUCCCCAGGUGGGAUCAUUACCAGGACUGAUUGAGCAUUGAACCCAGGAUGAGGCACCCUGCGACGGAUCUCACGGCCUUCCUGGCAAAGGGCGCAUAGGUGGCAGAAUACAUGGGUUGCAAAAUCACAUGCUGACUCACACUGCUCACGUUGCAGCUCAUCAUCCACACAGCUUCCGCAGCAACCACAUGAAUUAUUAAGUGUCUCACAGCUACCCUGUUUCAAAUCAAACCUGUGUUAAUUAAUGCUCAAAAAGGCUUUCUUUAACUCCAACCUUUUAUUAAGUGGCAAAUACAUAAACACACCUGCAUCAACUUAUUUUCAUACAUAGAUGUCAAAUUCAACACCAAGAACACCCCCUCCCACCAAAUAAUAUUAAUAAGUCUUCGUCUUUUUUGGUAAGUAAAUAAAGGAAAAAAAAUACAACAAAGGGAUGCCAGCCAUGUAUACAAAGUGAGGAAAGCUCAGAAGUACAAAAUAAUGCUCUACAGCUAGUAUUAGUAGUGGCAUUUGAAUGUAGAAUGUCCCUUAAAUCAAGUAUAAAUCAACUAACACGGACUCAACCACAGUUUCAAAGAUACUAACUUCACAAAAACAAAAGGCAAAAUAUAUAAAACUUAACAGAAAAUCAUGGAUUAUAAGGCACAUGCAAACACACAACACUAUAGGAAUAGAAUCAAACAAAUGAUAAUGAUUAAUAGGAUUUAUUUCAGGGCCAGCUCCCUGAAAAAGAAUAAAGAACUAUGAAAUAAGAUGCCACGGGAAGUACACUUUUAUGAGACGGAACCAGAGUUAUGAACAUAAUGCUUAACUAUUGAUCCCACCGAGGUCAUGAGCUAUGCAACCUCCCACAAGUCAGAAUCAUGCCAAAUUAUAGAUAGGGGUGACCAUCAUUUGGUUUAAACCAAAUUACCAAACCAAAUCAAUGAAUUUCAGUUUAUUUAAUUUGAUUUGGUUUUCAUCUUCAAAAAUAUAUAUUGUGUAUGCAUGCAUGCGUUCGCAUAUAUUUUUAUCCAAAAUUAAAAGAUUAAAAGCCCAAUAAAAACUAACUGAAUAAACUGACUGAACUGAAUUGUAUUUUCCGGUUAUCAAUUUGGUUGUUAAAGCAGAUUUAGUUAUUUCAAUGCUAGAAACUUUUCCACCAAAUCAACCUAAGAAUCGACCCUAAUUGAAGAUAUGUAUGGGCAAAAUUUGGAAAAUAACUUGCCUCCAGGUUAAACCUCCGACGAAUAGCUGUACGGCUAGGAUAUGAGAACCAUGGUGCAAGGCAGUUCCAACCAAAAAAUGCAUUACCAAUCAAGUAUAGACCAGUGUAGGGCAAGCAAUGAUUGGCAAAGGUUCCAGGACUAGAUCCAAGUCUCUCAGCAUUGCUUCCGUAAAGCACACAAGGGGCAACACUUCCAAGAAGACCUAGCAAAAAAACAUAUAAAAAAUGGAAGGAAUAGAGUACGAGUCUUUAGUAGCACAAUCCUAUGCAAUAGUCAAGAAACAAAUCAAUUAUAAAUACAAUCUGACAACCUAGAAGCAUUGCAUGCUAUUACUACCGAAUGCAUUUAUCUGUCAAUCCUCCUCUUCCUCUGAUAGGUUCAUCAUGAAACUCGCUGUCUAACAAUCAUGUCCAACCAAACACUAUCAAAUCAGUUCAUUGCAAUUGCAUGGCAAAGGGUCAUAUAAUGCUUAACAGAUUCAAUUUCAAACACUAAAUACUUGUCCUCCAUUUCAGCCCCUCAGAACCAAAAGGAUACAUAAAGUACAAGGACACAAGACCCAAGAAGUUGCCAAACUUAAAAAAAUAUAAUAAUAAUAAUAUAUAAAAAGAAAAAAAGCUAAAAGCUAGGAGAUUGAACCUAUCCAAACCAUAUAGCAUAUGCUUUUUAAUCACCAACAAGAAGCACUAGAUUAUAUAUGCAAUAAAUAAAACAAAUAACGACCUUAUGCAAACAUAUGAUCGCAAUCAUUCCCAAUAAUUCUUAUUAUCAAUCUCUUUCUAAAACUUGUGGAUGAGGUAAUCCUUGUCCAAUUAUAAGUGAUCCAUUGUAGACAAAUGUAAUAGAAUGACAAAGUUCUUGAAUUGAACAACUAUUAUAGAAAUAUACAAUUUGGUAAUGACACAAUUCUUAUUAUCAUUUCUAUUGACUUCACAUAGCAGACCAGGUAAUCCUAAUACAAUCAUUAGUGAUGCAUUCUUUCCUAUAAUUCAAUCAAUCAAUUUCGUCAAUCUUGGAAAUGAAUUUUAAUAGAAUGUGUAAAAAAAAAAACACAAUUGAUCUAGCACAAAUUAUAAAAUAAUCUCAAAUUCAUCAUAUCAAGGCAAAUCCUAAUUAAACAAAGAAAGACUUACAAACUUCAAGAUCGCUGCUACAAAAUUCAUCAUUGCGACCGAGACAAGCGAAGACACUGGAGUCCCACUGAGCCCGACCCAUAGGCUGACCUACAACGCUAGCGUGAUUCAACGGCAACCCAUUAGCGGUCCAUCCACAUUCAGGCCGGCCCAAUUCCAGCGCGGCGGAUUUCUUCUUCUCCAUGGGAGGUGCGGCGACUUUGGUGUCGGAAAUCUUAGUGGGUUCCUCGUCAUGUUCUUGGAGGUUCUUGUUCAAGAGAGGACUCGAUUCCUCGCUGUUGCUGAGGCUGGUGGUGGUUGUGGUGGUGUUAGCCAUUUUUGUAAAGAAAGAGAGAAAUUUGAGAAAUAAGAAAACAAGAAAUCCAGAGAGGUAGGAGAAGAACGAACGAAAAUGAAGGAAAACAAGAUCUAAAUAAAUAAAAUAAAUAAAAAUAUAGAAAAUAGAAGAGGUCAAGAUUUUGAUCAAAGAAGAGGUCAAGAAUAAGAGCCUGACAGCUUGGGC